rnacentral:rRNA from 1 species
AACGAACGCUGGCGGCAUGCCUAACACAUGCAAGUCGAACGAGACCUUCGGGUCUAGUGGCGCACGGGUGCGUAACGCGUGGGAACCUGCCCUUAGGUUCGGAAUAACUCCCCGAAAGGGGUGCUAAUACCGGAUAAUGUCUUCGGACCAAAGAUUUAUCGCCUUUGGAUGGGCCCGCGUUGGAUUAGCUAGUUGGUAGGGUAAAAGCCUACCAAGGCGACGAUCCAUAGCUGGUCUGAGAGGAAGAUCAGCCACACUGGGACUGAGACACGGCCCAGACUCCUACGGGAGGCAGCAGUGGGGAAUAUUGGACAAUGGGCGAAAGCCUGAUCCAGCAAUGCCGGGUGAGUGAUGAAGGCCUUAGGGUUGUAAAGCUCUUUUACCCGGGAUGAUAAUGACAGUACCGGGAGAAUAAGCUCCGGCUAACUCCGUG